CUGUAAUCAGCAUUUCAAGACCAAACUCAAACCAUACACUUCCUUUCACUUCACUUCUUACAAGAAGAAGAAGAAGGUCAAAAACAUCAAGAGGGCGUUUGAGAUUUGAUUUGUUUGUUGUGUUGGUGUGGUUUUUGUUUAAGGAUCAAUGGCUGGAAGUGGAGCUUUUGGUGAGAAAUUUGAUGGAGAAGUGUUCAAAUACUAUGCUGAUGGAGAGUGAAAGAAGUCCUCUUCUGGGAAAAGUGUUGCCAUUAUCAAUCCCACCACAAGAGAAACUCAGUACAAAGUUCAAGGUCUGCUAAAUUCUAAAUUUUCCUCUUCUUUUAGUAGUUGAUAUGUUCUGUUAUGGCUUUGCAACAGCUUGUACACAGGAGGAGGUGAACAAAGUAAUGGAGGCUGUGAAAACUGCACAGAAAUCGGGGUGAAAACACCACUUUGGAAGAGAGCUAAGCUGCUUCACAAGACUGCUGCAAUUCUCAAGCAGCUCAAAGCUCCAAUUGCUGAGUGCCUGGUGAAUGAAAUUGCAAAACUAGCCAAGGAUGCUGUCACUGAGGUUGUGAGGUCUGGAGAUUUGGUUUCUUACCGUGCUGAAGAAGGCGUCAGGAUUUUGGGAGAAGGGAACUUCUUGGUUUCGGAUAGUUUUCCAGGGAAUGACAGGACUAUGUAGUGCCUCACUUCUAAGGUAAUAUUUGAAGCUCCCCAAAGAUCAUUUUUAUGAGGGUAUAACAAUAUCUGGAACAUACUGAACUUUUUAAUUUUUUUAUAAAAGAGAUUAUGCUUCUAGUCUUUUCUAUUGAA